UACGAAGGGGGCGAGCGUUGUUCGGAUUUACUGGGCGUAAAGGGCGCGUAGGCGGCCCUCUUUGUCGCGUGUGAAAGCCCCGGGCUCAACCUGGGAAUUGCGCGCGAAACGGGGGGGCUUGAGUUCGGGAGAGGAGCGUGGAAUUCCCAGUGUAGAGGUGAAAUUCGUAGAUAUUGGGAAGAACACCGGUGGCGAAGGCGGCGCUCUGGACCGAGACUGACGCUGAGGCGCGAAAGCGUGGGGAGCGAACAGG
rnacentral:rRNA from 1 species